GCUGGGUGGAUUAGUGGCGAACGGGUGAGUAACACGUGAGCAACCUGCCCCUGACUCUGGGAUAAGCGCUGGAAACGGCGUCUAAUACUGGAUAUGUCCCGUCACCGCAUGGUGUGCGGGUGGAAAGAUUUUUCGGUUGGGGAUGGGCUCGCGGCCUAUCAGCUUGUUGGUGAGGUAAUGGCUCACCAAGGCGUCGACGGGUAGCCGGCCUGAGAGGGUGACCGGCCACACUGGGACUGAGACACGGCCCAGACUCCUACGGGAGGCAGCAGUGGGGAAUAUUGCACAAUGGGCGGAAGCCUGAUGCAGCAACGCCGCGUGAGGGAUGACGGCCUUCGGGUUGUAAACCUCUUUUAGCAGGGAAGAAGCGAAAGUGACGGUACCUGCAGAAAAAGCACCGGCUAACUACGUGCCAGCAGCCGCGGUAAUACGUAGGGUGCAAGCGUUAUCCGGAAUUAUUGGGCGUAAAGAGCUCGUAGGCGGUCUGUCGCGUCUGCUGUGAAAUUCCGAGGCUCAACCUCGGGCUUGCAGUGGGUACGGGCAGACUAGAGUGCGGUAGGGGAGAUUGGAAUUCCUGGUGUAGCGGUGGAAUGCGCAGAUAUCAGGAGGAACACCGAUGGCGAAGGCAGAUCUCUGGGCCGUAACUGACGCUGAGGAGCGAAAGGGUGGGGAGCAAACAGGCUUAGAUACCCUGGUAGUCCACCCCGUAAACGUUGGGAACUAGUUGUGGGGUCCUUUCCACGGAUUCCGUGACGCAGCCUAACGCAUUAAGUUCCCCCGCCUGGGGAGUACGGGCCGCAAGGCUAAAACUCAAAGGAAUUGACGGGGACCCGCACAAGCGGCGGAGCAUGCGGAUUAAUUCGAUGCAACGCGAAGAACCUUACCAAGGCUUGACAUACACGAGAACGGGCCAGAAAUGGUCAACUCUUUGGACACUCGUGAACAGGUGGUGCAUGGUUGUCGUCAGCUCGUGUCGUGAGAUGUUGGGUUAAGUCCCGCAACGAGCGCAACCCUCGUUCUAUGUUGCCAGCACGUAAUGGUGGGAACUCAUGGGAUACUGCCGGGGUCAACUCGGAGGAAGGUGGGGAUGACGUCAAAUCAUCAUGCCCCUUAUGUCUUGGGCUUCACGCAUGCUACAAUGGCCGGUACAAUGGGCUGCGAUACCGUAAGGUGGAGCGAAUCCCAAAAAGCCGGUCCCAGUUCGGAUUGAGGUCUGCAACUCGACCUCAUGAAGUCGGAGUCGCUAGUAAUCGCAGAUCAGCAACGCUGCGGUG
rnacentral:rRNA from 1 species